CAUACCCCCAUAUUAAAACUAUUGGCUAUAUACUGAUGAAUAUUUGGACGAAAGUCACAAGAGAGAAAAAUGACACUUUUAUAUUCAAAGGGAUGGUUUAUAAAUGAUAAAAACCAAUGCCUAAGCCAAUGUCUCCCGUUCUAAUUCCAUUCUAGUUGUGAGGAAAACCAAACUUCAUCCAGUUACUUUAAGCUGGGGCUCGGUCUUGUUGGAAAUGAACUGAAAUGGUUAGGCUACCAACCCUGACCUCCUACAUCCAAGUCUGAGGUGUCCCACCCAUACCCAUUUCCUCUUUAUUCUACCAAGCUUGCUCUCAGGUGAGUGCCUGCCCUGCAUUUCUGACUCUGGCUUCUCCCCUUCAGCGAGACUGGACUUCUCUGAGCCCAUCUAGGUUUGGGGCUUCCGGUCUGCCCUCCGCUGCCGGAGAGCUUCUGUCUUCUGGCCUCGAGGCCUGUGCAGGGCUCUCAGUGGAGCCAAGCCGGCCACGCCUUCCGUAUCCCUCUUCCCCCACCCGCCGGUGGGUCGCGCAGGUCGCCCUCCACCAGGACCGGCCCCCGCCCACCCGUCCAAGCCCAGCAUCUCCCGCCCUGUCCCCGCCCCGCCUUCCGUACGGCCGCCGCGUCCGCACGCACCCACUCGUUGGCCCGAUGGCCGAAAGUGUACAGAGCCACCUGGCUGGCAACGUCCACGAUGCGAUUGAUGUAGGGGUCGUGGCGCCGCAGGGCUGCCAGGCUGAUAUCGUGUCCCUUCCCAGGCAGGCCACCUGCCGCCGCGGCCGC
rnacentral:lncRNA from 1 species